GGCCAAGUUUUUAAGGGCGCACGGUGGAUGCCUUGGCACCAGGAACCGAUGAAGGACGUGGGAGGCCACGAUAGGCCCCGGGGAGUCGUCAACCAGGCUUUGAUCCGGGGGUGUCCGAAUGGGGAAACCCGGCAGUCGUCAUGGGCUGUCACCCGCUGCUGAACUCAUAGGCAGUGUGGAGGGAACGCGGGGAAGUGAAACAUCUCAGUACCCGCAGGAAGAGAAAACAACCGUGAUUCCGGGAGUAGUGGCGAGCGAAACCGGAUGAGGCCAAACCGUAUACGUGUGAGACCCGGCAGGGGUUGCGUGUGCGGGGUUGUGGGAUCUCUCUUGAUCAGUCUGCCGGCUGGUCGACGAGUCAGAAACCGUUGAUGUAGGCGAAGGACAUGCGAAAGGUCCGGCGUAGAGGGUAAGACCCCCGUAGUCGAAACAUUAGCGGCUCGUUUGAGAGACACCCAAGUAGCACGGGGCCCGAGAAAUCCCGUGUGAAUCUGGCGGGACCACCCGCUAAGCCUAAAUAUUCCCUGGUGACCGAUAGCGGAUAGUACCGUGAGGGAAUGGUGAAAAGUACCGCGGGAGCGGAGUGAAAUAGUACCUGAAACCGUGUGCCUACAAGCCGUGGGAGCGUCGCGCAAGGACUUGUCCUUGCGUCGUGACUGCGUGCCUUUUGAAGAAUGAGCCUGCGAGUUUGCGGUGUGUUGCGAGGUUAACCCGAGUGGGGAAGCCGUAGCGAAAGCGAGUCCGAACAGGGCGCUGUAGUAGCACGCUCAAGACCCGAAGCGGAGUGAUCUAGCCAUGGGCAGGUUGAAGCGGAGGUAAGACUUCGUGGAGGACCGAACCCACCAGGGUUGAAAACCUGGGGGAUGACCUGUGGUUAGGGGUGAAAGGCCAAUCAAACUCCGUGAUAGCUGGUUCUCCCCGAAAUGCAUUUAGGUGCAGCGUCGUGUGUUUCUUGCCGGAGGUAGAGCACUGGAUAGGCGAUGGGCCCUACCGGGUUACUGACCUUAGCCAAACUCCGAAUGCCGGUAAGUGAGAGCGCGGCAGUGAGACUGUGGGGGAUAAGCUCCAUGGUCGAGAGGGAAACAGCCCAGAGCAUCGACUAAGGCCCCUAAGCGUACGCUAAGUGGGAAAGGAUGUGGAGUCGCACAGACAACCAGGAGGUUGGCUUAGAAGCAGCCACCCUUGAAAGAGUGCGUAAUAGCUCACUGGUCUAGUGA
rnacentral:rRNA from 1 species